CAUAGCAGAAGUGGUGGUUCCGGGCUUCGGAGCCUGACUCGGAAGUACCGUGCCUGCCUCCCUUGCUGUCUUAGGACGCUUGCUCCUGGAACUGAGCUGCCAUGCUGUGAGGGAGCCAAGCAGCCACAGGAGAAGCCGCAUGUGAAUGCUCUGGCCAGUGGGCCCCUGCGGUCCCAGCUGGCAGCCAGCAUCAGUCCUCAGGGAACAAGUGAAUCUUCAGCUUUUCAACCACUCCAGCUGACACCACAGGGAACAGAGAAUCUUGAUGGCAGAACAAAAGUCCAACCAAGCCCAUUAGAAUCCACACCAUGGAUUGUGAGGCUCUUCUGCCUUCUGUGGGGAAGCUGUGCAUGUUAUUCUCAAGUUAUGGUAAAGAAACAGACCCCAAGAGCGUUUCCCUCCUUGAUUAUCUGAGAUAUCCAGACCUUCAUCUUCAGUCCAGCCAUGAGGAGGCUUGUCCAAAUUUUAUUCAUGGCAGCAGCAAUAGGAAUCUAAUCUUGAUAAGCAAAGAAUGUAAUUAAAAUGGAUUACAGACUAUUAAAUACCAACAAGAACAAAAUGAUUGCAGUGUGUGCAAGCCAGUAAUUAAAGCUUUAAAAGAGGAAAAAGUCACCAUCGCUUCAAAUGUUUAUUUGUCAAGAAUUCAGUUGUGAAUCCAUGAGGACCUGGGCUUUUCUUUGUUGUUUUCCAUCCUGUCCAGCCAAGCACCUGUUUAAGCAGAGGUGAGACCCAGCAUCACAGGCAGAGCCCUGAGCAGGAAGCCAGGCAGAAGCCCUGGCUUCAUCUUCACUCCUGCCUGCUAUGGGGCCUGGACAAUGCAUCCAACCUGCAUAGGACAUCUCAGGCCUCAGGUAUUUUUGAAUGUCAGAUGCAGGACUUACAGAGAUACAGGAGACAGAAGGUCCUGGCCUCAAGUAGUUUAUAAAUUAGGAUAGAUGACUGUUGACAUUGCUUGUGAUUUUUCCCUCACUGGAAAACCUCUCCUAUCCUGCUUCAUAAAAGGUGGUUGGUGGAGUCCAGUAUGCCUGCUUGCUUCCACAGCUGAAACCUGGUUUUCAAGCAUGAUUUUCCCAUCCGGGCAAUAAAACA